rnacentral:rRNA from 1 species
CCUACGGGAGGCAGCAGUGGGGAAUAUUGCACAAUGGGGGAAACCCUGAUGCAGCGACGCCGCGUGAGUGAAGAAGUAUUUCGGUAUGUAAAGCUCUUUCAGCAGGGAAGAAACUGACGGUACCUGUUUAAGAAGCCCCGGCUAACUACGUGCCAGCAGCCGCGGUAAUACGUAGGGGGCCAGCGUUAUCCGGAUUUACUGGGUGUAAAGGGAGCGUAGACGGUAGCACAAGUAUGGAGUGAAAUGCCGGGGCUUAAACCCGGGACUGCUGUUGAAACUGUGCCUCUAGAGUGCAGGAGAGGUAAGGGGAAGUCGUAGUGUAGCGGUGAAAUGCGUAGAUAUCAGGAAGAACACCAGUGGCGAAGGCGGCUUACUGGACUGUAACUGACGUUGAGGCUCGAAAGCGUGGGGAGCGAACAGGAUUAGAUACCCCUGUAGUC